CGUAGGUGGCGAGCGUUAUCCGGAUUUACUGGGCGGUAAAGGGACGUGUAGGCGGCUAGAUAAGUGUGAUGUUUAAAAUCCAAGGCUUAACCUUGGGGGUUCGAUUACAAAACUGUUUAGCUUGAGUGCUGGAGAGGAUAGUGGAAUUCCUAGUGUAGCGGUAAAAUGCGUAGAUAUUAGGAGGAACACCGGUGGCGAAGGCGGCUAUCUGGACAGUAACUGACGCUGAGGCGCGAAAAGCGUGGGGAGCAAACAGGAUU
rnacentral:rRNA from 1 species